CUUUCGCUUUGCGCUCGGUUAACGAGUACCAACGAAUACCGUAGCGCAGUCGAGUCGAGACACGCGUCCUGUUACAAGGUCGUCUUUGGAUCUCUGUGUUUGAAAAGAAGAAAGAAAAACCUUGGAGAUGUGGCUCUCCUUUUCUGAUAGAUAUUACAUUGGCGAUUGUCCAUCUAUUACGACUAUGUCAACUUAAUUUAGAUACGUAAGAGAAAAACAAACAGAGAGAAAGAGAGAGAGAGAGAGAGAGGGAAAGAGAGCACUGAAUGUUUUUAUCAAAUCGUUUAAAUUAUCAGCUUAUAAAACGAAACGUUCAAAAUAUAAUGGAACGAAACGAUCAAUCAAAAUCAAUUACUGACGAGACCAAACGUCCACAUAGAAUACUACGUCUUACUACGCUUGCUACGAAAUAACGAGACAUCGAGAAUAUUUCGCAUCUCGCAAAGGAAGGUGGCAAAGCAGUAGAACUUGUCUUAACUCCAAUCACGUCUCGAGAAAAACAGCUUUCUUCCUCGAGGGAGCUAUUUUCUAUGUUACGGUAUCUACAGGGUGCAAUAAACAAGCUUCUUCCAACCAUGAAAAAUAUGAGAAAAAUGGAAUGAAAAGCUGAAGAUAUCUUUGAUAAAAAAAAACGCGCGUAUAUUUUUUGAAGACCGUUUAAUUGGAAAUUUUGCCAUUUACGAUGAUCCUUGUAAAAUUAAAAAAAAUAUACAAAAGACAUUCUUUCGAA